GUAAAAAUAAAUAGUAAUAAUAAAAUAAAAGUAAAUAAAAAAUUGUUAAAAAUUAUAUAAUUUUUGGCCCUCCGAACUUCCAUUUUCCACACAAUCGAAGAACUGUAAUGUCAUUGUACAGAGAAAUACAUACAUAUAUUCAAAAUAAGCAAAAAAUAUCAAAACGCUUGUACUUAGUUGUCGCUAAAAUGACGUCACUAAAGUUAUUUUGCUGAGCUAACGCUAAGAUGACAUCACAAUUUUCGUAUUAUAAUUUUUCAAAAAUAUUGUUUUUUACAAAGGUGAACGAAAAUAAUUAGAAAUUAUAAAAUCAUCAAAUUGAAAAAAAAUAAAAAUAUAUUUUCUUUUGAUGUUUGCCGUCUUCACAGUUUUUAUUUGGCACAAUUUAUAGUAUUUUAUAUACAUUUAUAUUAUAUUUCUGCCUCAGUGUGAAAAUGCAUUGUGUGGUUAUUUCGAUCCUUAAAAAGCACCAAAUUGUAUUAAGACAAAUCACUGCAAUUCAAAGCCCAAUGAACCAAAAUUAAACAUGCACACAUGCACACACACCUAAUUACUUAAUCAAACGCUAAUUAUGACAAUUGAUUAUAAUUUCGCCAGUUUUUAAUAGCAUGCUGGAUGAAUGGCACUUAAUGAGGCCCCAACUCGCCUCAAAUUCGCCUCAUUUUGCGAUUUUUUCCUAAGGCAAUUAAACGCCAUUUAAUUGUGCAAAGACAAGGUCGGUCCUAAGCAAUCAGCUGCGUAUUUAAAGUGGAACGCGGCUUCCGAAAAUCCGCAAACAUAAUAAGCCGAUUAAUAACACGACCGAAACGAGCGGCGUGGAGUUCACAGUCAAGUGGCUCUCGGCUGAGAAACAAGUGCAAUUCAGCGGCGUGCGAAUGCGUGCGCACAACUCAACCUACAUCACAUACAUACAUACAUAUUUAGUUGUGUUUGUAUAAGUGCAAGUGAUAUGAUAUAUUGUGUGCGCCUGCAGUCAGCGCCCGACCACAAUCCAGUUCAACCGCAAAUUUUCAACAGCUUUUUUUCUGAAAGCAACAAGCAAACGCCCAGCGCUGCGUGCAAUUAAAUGUGGAAUUCGCAUAAAAUAAAAAAAAAAAUAAUAAUAAUAUAGCAAACAUACGUACAACAGCUGUUGCUAAAAUUUAUGUCAUUUGCUAUUGUUGUUGUGGUUGCUAGACCAGCACAAACCGCCGCGCAUGCCAGUUGCUAUUUCCGCGCUGGCAUUUGCGUAAGUGUGUGUAUGUGUGUGUAGGUUGUGUCUCCCUCCGGCUGCAUUUAUUUACACUGUUUUAUGAUCGUUUCUUGUCGGUCUAUGAAGUCGGAAUAUAAAGUAACUAAUUCGCUGUCAAUAUCACUGCAAUUUAUGACUUAGAAGCAAAUCACAUUAGCAAAUAUAAAUAUUAAGCGAGACGAAAGCGCUGCUCCCUCGAGCGAACGUGCGAAAAUAGCUAAUAAUAUUUAAGUUCGAAUUCCCAAAUCCCCGAAAACGGUUGAGUCAGAGCGAUACAAAUGUUAAUACAUACAUAUGUAUCUGCAUACAUAUAUACAAAUUUGCGUGUGUUUGUUUUUGCUGUUUCAUAGACAGGUUGACAUUGUAUGUACAUAUACAUAUGUAUGUAUGUAUGUGUGUAAUUUAAGUUAAUUUGCAGUACAAAGAAACGGUUCCUGUCAUUAAAGAUUUGUAGAAGUGAGUUUGAGUGGCUGGACUUCGUAUACUAUACAUACAUACCUACAUCCGGCAAAU